CCCUUAGAUGUUCUGGGCCGCACGCGCGCUACAAUGAUGAAUUCAACGAGUUUAUAACCUUGGUUGAAAAGCCUGGGUAAUCUUUUGAACUUUCGUCGUGAUGGGGCUAGACCCUUGCAAUUAUUGGUCUCCAACGAGGAAUUCCUAGUAAACGCAAGUCAUUAGCUUGCAUUGAUUACGUCCCUGCCCUUUGUACACACCGCCCGUCGCACCUACCGAUUGAAUGGUCCGGUGAAAUCUUCGGAUUGAGACUUUGAUUUCUUCACGGAAAACGCUGUUUUAAGAAGUUGAUUAAACCUUACCAUUUAGAGGAAGGUGAAGUCGUAACA
rnacentral:rRNA from 1 species